UGGGGAAUAUUGCACAAUGGGCGCAAGCCUGAUGCAGCCAUGCCGCGUGUGUGAAGAAGGCCUUCGGGUUGUAAAGCACUUUCAGCGAGGAGGAAGGGUUCAGUGUUAAUAGCACUGUUCAUUGACGUUACUCGCAGAAGAAGCACCGGCUAACUCCGUGCCAGCAGCCGCGGUAAUACGGAGGGUGCAAGCGUUAAUCGGAAUUACUGGGCGUAAAGCGCACGCAGGCGGUUUGUUAAGUCAGAUGUGAAAUCCCCGCGCUUA
rnacentral:rRNA from 1 species